UUGGAGGGCAAGUCUGGUGCCAGCAGCCGCGGUAAUUCCAGCUCCAAUAGCGUAUAUUAAAGUUGUUGCAGUUAAAAAGCUCGUAGUUGAAUUUCGAGACUGGUUUAUUGGUCGUGCUUUUGUACGUACUGGUAUUAUUGGUUUCUCCUUUCUGACGAAUCAUAAUGCCAUUAAUUUGGUGUUUUGGGGAAUCAGGACUGUUACUUUGAAAAAAUUAGAGUGUUUAAAGCAGGCUCACGCUUGAAUACAUUAGCAUGGAAUAACGGAAUAGGACGUUUGAUUCUAUUUUGUUGGUUUCUAGGAUCGACGUAAUGAUUAAUAGGGAUAGUUGGGGGCAUUAGUAUUCAAUUGUCAGAGGUGAAAUUCUUGGAUUUAUUGAAGACUAACUACUGCGAAAGCAUUUGCCAAGGAUGUUUCCAUUAAUCAAGAACGAAAGUUAGGGGAUCGAAGACGAUCAGAUACCGUCGUAGUCUUAACCAUAAACUAUGCCGACUAGGGAUCGGAUGAUGUUAAUUUUUUAAUGACUCAUUCGGCGCCUUACGGGAAAC
rnacentral:rRNA from 1 species